CUCCUCAGCCCCCAUUUGCUUAAAAACCUGCUGAAGUUUGACCACAGAUGCUUCAGGAGCAAAUCUGGAAAAGCUUUUAGAGACUCAGGAGCUCUACCAGAGGCAGAAACUGUUCCCUGGUUUUUGCCUGGUUUGCUGUUCAGAGGAAAGACGUGCAUGGGAAAACCUGUGACAUAGGAGGCUCUGAGGAAAUAUUAAAGGAGAGAAAUAAGUUUCUGAGGAUGGAAGGAGGAAGAGAAGAGCGUUAAGAUCCAACUGCUAAUGGACUGUGUGGCAUCUACCACUUCCAGGAGUUUGUAAUGGCCUUUGUGACUUAGAAAAGGAAGAUUUAAACUGAGGUUUAAUAAAUCUUUUGGGCCGACAGCUCA
rnacentral:lncRNA from 1 species